UUCACAAGUUUGAUUGAGUAUUAGGAAGAGAAUGAUUGUAUUGUGUGAUAUUUAAAAAACUAAUAGUGUUUAUUGAAUUUAUUGGGAUUCACAGAACUGCAUUACGUGUGAUGAGAAUAUACAAUGCGAAAAUAUUUUAUUUCUUUUUACAUAAUGAUAUAUUUUGCAUAUUGUAAUAAAACGGUUAUAAGAGUUCGUUUCAUUUACUUUUAUAAAUACGAUCGUUUAAUUCCCAUAAGUUGUCUCUGUAAUUUAGUUUCUAUUUAUAAUA
rnacentral:lncRNA from 1 species